GCAGUNGAACGCGCAGCGAGAGGUGCUUGCACCUUUCAAGCGAGUGGCGAACGGGUGAGUAACACGUGGAUAACCUGCCUCAAGGCUGGGGAUAACAUUUGGAAACAGAUGCUAAUACCGAAUAAAACUUAGUAUCGCAUGAUAUCAAGUUAAAAGGCGCUACGGCGUCACCUAGAGAUGGAUCCGCGGUGCAUUAGUUAGUUGGUGGGGUAAAGGCUUACCAAGACGAUGAUGCAUAGCCGAGUUGAGAGACUGAUCGGCCACAUUGGGACUGAGACACGGCCCAAACUCCUACGGGAGGCUGCAGUAGGGAAUCUUCCACAAUGGGCGCAAGCCUGAUGGAGCAACGCCGCGUGUGUGAUGAAGGCUUUCGGGUCGUAAAGCACUGUUGUAUGGGAAGAAAUGCUAAAAUAGGGAAUGAUUUUAGUUUGACGGUACCAUACCAGAAAGGGACGGCUAAAUACGUGCCAGCAGCCGCGGUAAUACGUAUGUCCCGAGCGUUAUCCGGAUUUAUUGGGCGUAAAGCGAGCGCAGACGGUUGAUUAAGUCUGAUGUGAAAGCCCGGAGCUCAACUCCGGAAUGGCAUUGGAAACUGGUUAACUUGAGUGUUGUAGAGGUAAGUGGAACUCCAUGUGUAGCGGUGGAAUGCGUAGAUACUAUGGAAGAACACCAGUGGCGAAGGCGGCUUACUGGACAACAACUGACGUUGAGGCUCGAAAGUGUGGGUAGCAAACAGGAUUGAUACCUGGGUAGUCCACACCGUAAAACGA
rnacentral:rRNA from 1 species